AGGUGGGGUGUGUAAGCGUAGCGAUACGUUGAGCUAACCCAUACUAAUUACCCGUGAGGCUUAACCAUACAACACCCAAGAAGUGUUCUG
rnacentral:rRNA from 1 species